rnacentral:rRNA from 1 species
AGAGUUUGAUCAUGGCUCAGAUUGAACGCUGGCGGCAUGCUUUACACAUGCAAGUCGAGCGGCAGCGCGGGGGCAACUCUGGCGGCGAGCGGCGAACGGGGUGAGUAACACAUCGGAACGUAUCCAUAAGUGGGGGGAUAGCCCGGCGAAAGCCGGAUUAAUACCGCAUACGAUCUACGGAUGAAAGCUGGGGAUCGCAAGACCUGGCGCUUUAGGAGCGGCCGAUGUCCGAUUAGCUAGUUGGUGGGGUAAAGGCCUACCAAGGCGACGAUCGGUAGCUGGUCUGAGAGGAUGAUCAGCCACACUGGGACUGAGACACGGCCCAGACUCCUACGGGAGGCAGCAGUGGGGAAUUUUGGACAAUGGGGGCAACCCUGAUCCAGCCAUGCCGCGUGCGGGAAGAAGGCCUUCGGGUUGUAAACCGCUUUUGGUCGGAAAGAAAGGUCUGGGGCUAAUACCUCUGGGCUUUGACGGUACCGGCAGAAUAAGCACCGGCUAACUACGUGCCAGCAGCCGCGGUAAUACGUAGGGUGCGAGCGUUAAUCGGAAUUACUGGGCGUAAAGCGUGCGCAGGCGGUUUGUUAAGUCCGCUGUGAAAGCCCCGGGCUCAACCUGGGAAUGGCGGUGGAAACUGGCGAGCUAGAGUGUGGCAGAGGGGGGUGGAAUUCCACGUGUAGCAGUGAAAUGCGUAGAGAUGUGGAGGAACACCAAUGGCGAAGGCAGCCCCCUGGGUUAACACUGACGCUCAGGCACGAAAGCGUGGGGAGCAAACAGGAUUAGAUACCCUAGUAGUCC